ACUCGAGUGGCGAACGGGUGAGUAACACGUGGGUGAUCUGCCCUGCACUUCGGGAUAAGCUUGGGAAACUGGGUCCAAUACCGGAUAGGAGCCAUCUUUAGUGUGGUGGUUGGAAAGUUUUUCGGUGUAGGAUGAGCUCGCGGCCUAUCAGCUUGUUGGUGGGGUAAUGGCCUACCAAGGCGGCGACGGGUAGCCGGCCUGAGAGGGUGUACGGCCACAUUGGGACUGAGAUACGGCCCAG
rnacentral:rRNA from 1 species